rnacentral:lncRNA from 1 species
UUAUUUUCAUGGAUUCAAUUUUCUAAUUAAGUUUUAAAUCCAAAUCUGAAAACUAAAUUUAAAAAAUUGAAAAAAAAACUCCAAACUAUAAAACAUAUUUGCCGCUUUUGCGUCUAUAUCGCUCUCAGAUCGAUGUCCCAUACGGAAUUCUCUCAUCGGUCGCCGUUCAACCUACCACAACCAUCGAUUUUCAUUCCUCCACCACAAUUCGCGAUA